ACGGGUGAGUAGCGCGUGGGAACCUGCCCUGUUGUGGGGGAUAACCGAGGGAAACUUCGGCUAAUACCGCAUGCGCCCGCCGGAGUGAUCUGGCGGGGAAAGAUUUAUCGCAGCAGGAGGGGCCCGCGUCGGAUUAGCUUGUUGGUGGGGUAACGGCCUACCAAGGCUAUGAUCCGUAGCUGGUCUGAGAGGAUGAUCAGCCACACUGGGACUGAGACACGGCCCAGACUCCUACGGGAGGCAGCAGUGGGGAAUAUUGGACAAUGGGCGAAAGCCUGAUCCAGCAAUGCCGCGUGAGUGAGGAAGGCCUUAGGGUUGUAAAGCUCUUUCGGCGGGGACGAUGAUGACGGUACCCGCAGAAGAAGCCCCGGCUAACUUCGUGCCAGCAGCCGCGG
rnacentral:rRNA from 1 species